rnacentral:lncRNA from 1 species
UUUGUCCUUAACGUUGUCCUGUGGUUCCAGAGUCCCUGUCCUUCCAUUUCCUUUUAAAUAUAUUUUUAAUCCUCAUCCCUAUCCCCCAGUCCUAGCAGUUUCAAAUUGUAUUGCAAUAAAAUGUUUUGAAUUCUUCACAUAGGUACCUAACAUUGACAUGCCACGUCCAGAGUCGUGGACCGCUAAUACUUCAAAUCUCUUCCUUCCCAAUCUGACAACAUCCCACGUCUCAAAUGCACAUUGUGUGGAAAUAUUAGAGGCUGCCCGUCAGUCUCUGUCUAACCGAAACCGUCACAUGCAGGUACCUGAAGGGCUGCCUUCAGAGCUGCGAUGAUAUCGAUGGCUGUAACGGGGCUGGAGUCAGCGCGCUGACCGCUGCGGUCCUGCUCUGGUCAGCCCUGGUGGCAGCGGUGGUUCGAUAGGUGACUCGCUAACCUAUACCGACGGGUCACCCGCUGACCUACCGACGGGUCAACCGCUGAGCUACCGACGGGUCACCCGCUGACCUACCGACGGGUCACCCGCUGACCUACCGACGGGUCACUCAGUGACCUAGCAAGGGUUACUCGCUGGUCUCUGCUCGGUCACAGGCUGGCGAAGGCCCGGUGCGCCCACCCCGCACUCGGGCAGUGACUGCUACUGCAGUUGAACGGUGCUGCACGGUUCAGUGGAAACUGCCGUGGUAGCUGGUCACUCAAAGGCAACCAGACCAGGACUGACGUCUGACAGAGGACCCACGAACUCACCGUGGUGUCAACAGUGUGCAUAUCCACAGGGUGGCCUCCCAAAACCAGGUUUCUGUUACUGCUAUAUCAGCUAAUGGCGUAAAUGAUGUGACCGACCGGCAUAUACAUAGAUGUAAUGUUGCAUCUGUGUUAUGUCGGGGUGAGAUAGUUUGUCAUGCUUGGUUGUGAUCUAAUUAUUUCGUUUUUUUUAAGCCGUAAAAAGAUAAAUGUUCUAGGAUGUUCUUCUGAUGAUCGAGGUCGUUCCAUUUGUGCCUCGAAUAGAGAUGAUAAUGCCAGCCAUGUGAGUGCUGGGCUUUUCUCCUGCUUUUUAUCAAAUUUUUUUACUGUAUGCUGAAUACUACGGUGAAUUACAUAUGUUAGCAACAGAUCUCAUUAAAGCCUGAGCAGUAUUUGAGCAAUGUGAAGCUGAGGUCACCUUACUAAGGAAGAUGGUGGUGCAUCGGUUUCUGUGUUUCCCUUUCAAAGUGUGUUUCUUUUUAGACGCACAUUUGUCUGAUCAUUCGCUAACGUGCUACCACGAUACGGCACUGAAGGCACUAAACACACGCACAUCGCGCACAAAUAUGCCGUUCGCUUGUUUACGUGCAUUUCCAGCCGCAGUUUCGUCCGUGGUGUGAGGACACAGUGGUAGCGAAUAUGAGUUCGUACUUGCUCUUGAUGGUAAGACAGUAUUAGGCAUUAAAUGUAAAACUGUUUGCUGUGUUAGUAAUGAGAAGCACCUAGUCAAGCAUGGUUCACGCCCGCACAACCACUGCUCAUGAAUUACAAUUUUUUUAAUAGUGUGCCAUGGACAUAAUCUCAUCCAAAAAAAAUAACACAGUGCACAGUAGUUCAGAAGGUACCUAUAUUUGUUCUCUCUGUCAAAUUACGCCUUUAUUCGUAUUGACUUAAAUCAAACUGUAUCAGAGAGAUUCCUCUACUAUUUUUUUCGUACUUGAGUUUUUGGUGAUACUAUCGAUGCCUUCCUGAGUUGCUUUAAUGCUCUGAAUCUUUAAUGAGCCAAGCAAUCGCAAAAUUGAUAGCUCUAUAUCUUAUGACGGUUAUGUAAAUGCUUUCAUUGGAAAGACCAAAUACAAGACAAACGCAGUGUUCCGAUGAUUGAAGUCCAUACUGUCUAUUUUUUCUUUCGCAUUAAAAGUAAACAAUGAGUUAAGAAGUUGACGAUAUUGACGCAAAUGUAUUACGUGCGAGCGGUGGACAUAAAAACGUUUUGAGCCACACCCACCAAUCAGUAUUGUGUUUGUAUCUUGGGGUGCAAUGUUUAAGUGUGCAUGCCGUUACUGAUAUGAAAUAUAUUUUGUACGGA